AUUGAACGCUGGCGGCAGGCCUAACACAUGCAAGUCGAGCGGAUGAAGGGAGCUUGCUCCUGGAUUCAGCGGCGGACGGGUGAGUAAUGCCUAGGAAUCUGCCUGGUAGUGGGGGAUAACGUCCGGAAACGGGCGCUAAUACCGCAUACGUCCUGAGGGAGAAAGUGGGGGAUCUUCGGACCUCACGCUAUCAGAUGAGCCUAGGGCGGAUUAGCUAGUUGGUGGGGUAAAGGCCUACCAAGGCGACGAUCCGUAACUGGUCUGAGAGGAUGAUCAGUCACACUGGAACUGAGACACGGUCCAGACUCCUACGGGAGGCAGCAGUGGGGAAUAUUGGACAAUGGGCGAAUGCCUGAUCCAGCCCUGCCGCGUGUGUGAAGAAGGUCUUCGGAUUGUAAAGCACUUUAAGUUGGGAGGAAGGGCAGUAAGUUAAUACCUUGCUGUUUUGACGUUACCAACAGAAUAAGCACCGGCUAACUUCGUG
rnacentral:rRNA from 1 species